rnacentral:lncRNA from 1 species
GUUGGAAUCCAGCAACUUUAACCAAGCUAUAAGUUUAGAGUAUGUUUGUUAACUACAUGUCAACAGAGGUGGGAAUUAUAAAAGAACUCAAAGCAAUUUUGGAACGGCGAUUGCUGCAAACUAGAUUAGUCAUUGUAUUUUCUAAUAAAAUCUUUGAACCAAAUUUUUAAAUACAAAAGCUUUAAUUGCUGAUUGAUAUUUAACCCCCUAUUUGAGUUCGCAUAUGGUACAAAUGUCCAUGUGUUGGAGCAAUUCCUCAACGAAAUGAGACGCAGACAUACAUGCAAUGUUUUGUGAUUGUAUGCAAACAUUGUCGUUAUGCCUUUGGAAUUGUUUACGCGUUAGUCGCGAAAAUUAUUCUCUAGUACUAGGAAAAUUGCUUAUCGUCACAAUUUUUUUAUUGCCAGUGUGAAAUGACAGUUUUCUAAUAAAUUUCAUUGAUUUAUUGAACCCAUAUGUUAGCAACUCUCUUUUCCCGAGAAGGAACUGCACAGCCAGUACUAGAUGGACAAGUCACCGCGACAACUGGGAAAAGAGUGGCUUGAAUAGUCACGGUUUGACUGAAUAAUUUUCGCGCUUUUCAUUGAGAGUCACGUGAACGCUACAUUAGUCGCCAUUUAAUUUUUAUUUGUUACCAUGUUUUAACGGAUAAAGGUCCAUUGUUGUUUCUCCAAAUUGGGUUUGUCUCAACAUACGGAUGUAUUAGGGCGACCAUUUGUUGAUGCACUGAGCACCAAUUUCAUUCGGCCUACACAUUCUCUUUGUUUACUUUUUGGAACUAAUUAUACGUUGGUCUCUUUGCGUUUCGGUAAUGUUUUGUUUAUGCUGGUAACAUUUUAUAAUGUUGAAAUUGUCAAAUACUCUGUACAUUAAAGACUUGAUUUCGAAAUUCAUCUUAAAAGAUCAAACCUAGAUUCGCGGAUUGUUUACAGUUUCAUCUUAACCGCACAUUCGCAUCCACCAGCAAUUAUCUACACGUGAUUUUAUGUUUCCGUGAAUUUAAAAGAUCUAGUAAAAUGUAACAAUGAUGGAUAGCAACAAAUUCGAUUUCAUUAAAAUCAUAGGAGAGCAUUCAGUCACGUAAAACUCGCACCCACUAUCAUUUAACUAGCCAUGCGCUAAUCUUAAGUGAAGCAAGUUCACUAAUAACAACCGUAAUAAUCUAUUACUAUGCUCUAAGCAACAAUUUGCUUGCUAUUUAGCAAAUGAAUACUACUGUUCUUUUACCGAUUUGCAACGGCAGCCACGUCUGCGCCACUACAUUACCGCUAUCGGUCAGUUAACGAGAACGUAUAUACAGUUUCUUAUGGCGUUUAAACCAUCUACAUUCAUCUGCAUUAUACAAAAUAAAAUCGAAAAAUUCAAGCCGAAUGUAAUGUUUUCGGCUGUAAAGAGUGCGCCAAUAGUGCAAACCUUUUCUUGUCCUAAAACUCUUGGUUCAAUGGGAACGCGUAAGUAUUUAGCAGUUAGUAAGUAAACGGAUUUUGCUACUUCAAAAGAAAACAAUGCAACCAUGACGUUGAUAUUUUGGAAUAACGGGAUAGGAAUGAGCAAGUUGUUUUGCAACUCUAUGUUACUUAACGAAG